CUUCGUUACUGAAAUAUGAAUCUAAUCCCAUCUCUGAAUUUGAUCAACCAAAACUGUGCAAACUGAGAGCUUCCUAAAUUGGAUUUUAGUAGUGAAUUGAUUUGAGCCCUACUUUUUGUUUAGCACAUCAGCUGCUUAUGUCAGCCUGUACUGUAGUGGUGGGUUAGUGACCUCAGUGAUAUGUUGGAAGCUACAGACUUAACUGUCAAUAGGAUUGGCUUGGCCCUUUAUCCUUCAGCGGCAGAUAAAUAGAGCCCCAUUCAGUAGGUUCAUUGUGUAGGGAUUUGUUGGAGUUUUAUUUAUGCAGAUUUGGAAGCAGUUGGAGAUCAUCAACAUCCAAUACACCCUCUGUCAAAUAUUUCUCUUCCAUUGUUGGGUUAUUAAAAUAUGGGUUGGGAGGUUGGGGGAUUCUGUCCUUUUUAGAAGCAAAUACUUUUUUAAAAAUAAUCAAAAGAGCAUUUUUUUUAUUUUGUAUUUUUUGGUAUCUAGGGUAUCUCUGAGUAGUCGAUUUUUGAUCUCUACCCAUCCUCAAAACUGAAAACCAGUCCUCCAUUUCUCCAGGGCUUACCUUUUCAUCACUUGAAGACCAGUGGUUACGUGAUUUGGACCCACUGAGGAACGUAGAAUGAUAUCAGUUCAAAAGUAUUGGAUACCUGUGGAGCACUUUGCAAGAUAUUGCAGGAUUUUUGGGGCUUUCUAUAGAACUACACAGAAGUAUUGCUGAGUACUUUGCAAUAUGAAUUCCUGCAAUUUGCAGGAAUUUGCCACGCUUUUCAGGUGAUCAUGCUUGUGUGAUCAUGGUGAAGACAGCAGUAAGAUCUUAUAUAACAGAAGACAGAAAAAGACAGAGAAGGAGUCACGUGGAGAUGCACACACAUAUUGGGGACUGGUGGAGACUUCACUUAAGAAUCUCUCAUCAAGAACAGGCACAGAGUACGAAUUGAGGAGGCUCUGAAUUCCGGAAGCACUUCCAGGAACUGUGGGGUUGACAGAAGGGAUAUGCAACAGGUUCUGCAUCCUUGAGGAUCUCACUGCAAGAACAGCACAGAAAGAGCAUGACCCAACUCAAGAGGAGUCUAGACAUCGAGUUGCACAAGACUGAGUGUGCACAAUGGGAUUGGAGAGAAGUAACGGCAUGGGCUGCCAUGAUCAGGGAAAGCUGCACAGAAGUGUUGGGUUUGAAUGGUACAGGAUCUAUUUGCCAGAACAAUUUUUUUGAAGACCCAGGCUCUCAUCAUUUCAAGACAAGGGGUCCCUGGAUCAAAAUAGAACCAAAAGUUUCAUUUGGCAUCAAUCAACCUUAUCAGCAGAGUCCAGGGAUUAUCAGCAGAGACCGGGGCUUUUAUCAAGACACAGAGCACAAGUAAAUCCUAUAAUCUAAAUUUGCAACAUUUAUGACCUGGAAAGCAGCCCCAGGUAGGCAAAAACAACUGACCUUUUUCUACUCCUCCAAAACACCUGCUUGGUACUGCCUCGUCUCCCACAACACUUCUCGACAGUGGUGAUCUUGAAAUGUUUAUGCUUAAGUCGUGUCUUCCAAAUUAGCCUCUAAGUUACUUUAGGGCAAGAGCCAUGUCUUCGUGUGUCCUGCCCAGUGUUAGGACUGGAUCCUCAGGAAAUACCUAUUGAAUAAACUUAGAUCUUUUCACAUCCUUUCAAUUCUGUCAACCCACAUAAGGCUGGCUAACAGCAAAGCUGUGGGGGAACUUAGCCUACAUUCUUCAAUCCAGAAUCCCUGAACACAGCUAGCAUGGUUCAAGAUUAAUAAGUACACUGGACAGUUCUUUGGAGCCCCGUGAUAUUAUUGGAAUGCUUUUACUUUGAGAUCUUGACCUCCUAAUGUUAACAGAGCUUAGGUGGUAACCUAAAAUCACUGGAAAGAUAUCACUCUGGAAAAAUGAGUAAAUGACAACAAAUCAACCUUGCAACAUCUCUGGAUAAUUGCUAUCUACUCUGUCUAAUUAUUCCUACAAAAGGUAACUUGUCUUUCUUACAUUUCUGAAAUGUGGCCUGAGGUACCUCAGGUAGUAGUUACCCACUGGCUGGUCAACUGUGCAGAUAUGGAAAACAUAUUUGGCUAUAUUUCAGUGAGGCAAUAAAAGACACUACUUAAUUUCAAACUUUUUAUUAAUUAUGUCUUAUCAGUCCCUUUCUCCAGAAGAUACCGAUAUGAUUCUUCAGUUCAGUUCAGACAUCCUAACUUUCCAUUUUACAUUAAAUGGGACAUUUUAAUAUAUAAGCUUUUGGAAAUAAUUAGAAUUCACAUGUAGAUUUUUUUGUAAUCAGAAUUUUUAAAAUUACAGUAUAUAAUUACAAUGUACUAUAAGAAAUUGUCAAGUGGAUAACCUUGUUGCACUGAAAUGUUUUUGCUGUAAACAAGUCUCUCCUUUAGUGGAAUAUUUGUCAGUGCAUGUAUUCAAAGAAGCGCUCUCAAGGCAUGUGCUCAGAAGUUAGGAAAUAAUUAUAUUUCCAAACAUAAUCUUUUCUAAUCAUCCCAUUUUGUUUUGUUUAAAAAUAACCUGUGGGUUUCUAAGACAGGCACAAUUAUCUUUCAUCUCAGCUCCAAGAUACCAUCCUUCCAGAAAAUGAUUUGGGGUGGGGGGAAACAAACUCAGAGGUCACUUUUCUUUUUCUUUCCUUGAAAAUCCUCACUCUAAUUGCAAAUAAAUAUACUAGCAAGGAACUGCCUAAGUUUAGCUGCUAGGUUUUUAAAGCAAGAUAAGUGGGAAAGCACUGAAUUUGUAGUAAUAUUUAACAACUCAUCCACGCAGUAUUAAUACAUAGUGAUUUUCAGCGGUACAUAGACAAGGCUAAUUUCAAUUCAACAAACUUUUAUUGAGCGCCUAAAAUACGCCGAGGACUCUGCUAAGUGUUGGGGGCACCAGGGUGAAGAUGAUAAAGUUCUCGACUUACAAAGCUUAGUUUCUGGAGAAGACAAACAGUAAAUAAGCACUUUUAAUAAGUUACGCUCAAAUUGGCAUGAGAACAUGGAAGAGGUGGGGUGGUGAAUUCUUA
rnacentral:lncRNA from 1 species